UAAUACGAAGGGGGCUAGCGUUGUUCGGAAUGACUGGGCGUAAAGGGCGCGUAGGCGGCGCAUCAAGUCGGGCGUGAAAGCCCCGGGCUCAACCUGGGAACUGCGUUCGAGACUGGUGCGCUGGAGUUCGGGAGAGGAGAGUGGAAUUCCCAGUGUAGAGGUGAAAUUCGUAGAUAUUGGGAAGAACACCGAUGGCGAAGGCAGCUCUCUGGACCGAUACUGACGCUGAGGCGCGAAAGCGUGGGGAGCAAACAGG
rnacentral:rRNA from 1 species